GAUGAACGCUGGCGGCGUGCUUAACACAUGCAAGUCGAACGGGAAUUACUUUAUUGAAACUUCGGUCGAUUUAAUUUAAUUCUAGUGGCGGACGGGUGAGUAACGCGUGGGUAACCUGCCUUAUACAGGGGGAUAACAGUCAGAAAUGACUGCUAAUACCGCAUAAGCGCACAGAGCUGCAUGGCUCGGUGUGAAAAACUCCGGUGGUAUAAGAUGGACCCGCGUUGGAUUAGCUGGUUGGUGAGGUAACGGCCCACCAAGGCGACGAUCCAUAGCCGGCCUGAGAGGGUGAACGGCCACAUUGGGACUGAGACACGGCCCAGACUCCUACGGGAGGCAGCAGUGGGGAAUAUUGCACAAUGGGGGAAACCCUGAUGCAGCGACGCCGCGUGAAGGAAGAAGUAUCUCGGUAUGUAAACUUCUAUCAGCAGGGAAGAAAAUGACGGUACCUGACUAAGAAGCCCCGGC
rnacentral:rRNA from 1 species